UACGUAGGGUGCGAGCGUUGUCCGGAAUUAUUGGGCGUAAAGGGCUCGUAGGCGGUUUGUCGCGUCGGGAGUGAAAACCUUGGGCUUAACUCAGGGCUUGCUUUCGAUACGGGCAGACUAGAGGUAUGCAGGGGGAGAACGGAAUUCCUGGUGUAGCGGUGAAAUGCGCGAGAUCAGAGGAACACCCGGGGUAGCGAAGCGGGGCUCUGGCAGUACUGAGUG
rnacentral:rRNA from 1 species